rnacentral:lncRNA from 10 species
AAAACAAAAAGCCCCUGGAAAACUGUGCACACACCCAUCCCCUCAGCCUGAUGCUCCAGCUUGGCUGCUAGGAGAUCAAUGCAGCUCUGCCUUCCUGCUCCCUGUGCAGAGGUGCCGGCUCCUGCUUCCUGGUUCCCAGCUUUCCUUUUGGGAACUGCCUGAGGUGGUUUGACACACAGCUGUUGGGCUUCUCUUCCCUUGAGGUCUCUGAACCAGGGCACCCAUGCAGGGGCUUCUGCUGGAUAAACCAACCACCACAAAGUCUACAGAAACAUGUCUCCACCCCAGCCUCACUCCACAAAUGCUUCUUUGGUGGAAGGCUGGUUCCUGGUCCAGCCGCCGCAGGGAAUGACGCCGGUGCUCCUGCAGCCACGGCUCCGGGCGGGGAAGGCGAGCCCCACAGCCGGCCCUGCGACGCCCGCCUGGGCAGCACCGAUAAGGAGCUGAAGGCAGGAGCCGCCGCCACGGGCAGCGCCCCCACAGCGCCAGGGACCCCCUGGCAGCGGGAGCCGCGGGUCGAGGUUAUGGAUCCAGCGGGCGG